rnacentral:rRNA from 1 species
UACAGGGGGUGCAAACGUUGCUCGGAAUUAUUGGGCGUAAAGCGCGCGUAGGCGGCUAUUUAAGUCGGAUGUGAAAGCCCUUGGCUCAACUGAGGAAGUGCACCCGAAACUGAAUGGCUUGAGUACCAAAGAGGGUCGCGGAAUUCCCGGUGUAGAGGUGAAAUUCGUAGAUAUCGGGAGGAACACCGGUGGCGAAGGCGGCGACCUGGGUGGAUACUGACGCUGAGCGCGAAAGCGUGGGGAGCAAACAGG